ensembl:misc_RNA Metazoa_SRP Metazoan signal recognition particle RNA
GCUGGGUGUAGUGGCGUAUGUCUGUAGUCCCAGCUACUCGGGAGGCUGAGGUGGGAGGAUAGCUUGAGCUCAGGAGUUCUGGGCUGUAGUGCACUAUACUGAUCAGGUGUCCACACUAAGUUCAGCAUCAAUAUGGUGAUCUCCUGAGAGCGGUGGACCACCAAGUUGCCUAAGGAGGGGUGAACCGGCCCAGGUCGGAAACAGAGCAGGUCAAAAACUCCCGUGCUGAUCAGUAGUGGGAUUACACCUAUGAAUAGCAACUGAACUCCAGCCUGGGCAACAUAGCAAGACCGUCUCUA